AGUAAUUCUAAACACAACAGUGUUAUGAACUGGGAAGGUUGGCAGGGGGGGGAGUGAGACAGAGACAGACGGCUGGAAUAGAACGAGGCCAUGAGGGUUUCCGCCGCUGGCAUGGACGAGUCUACCUGCUCAUAGGAAAGGGGAGGGAUCUUGACCGCCGCGCCGCGCUGUCCCGUCUCUCGAGUUGUUGAGCCUUGGAGACAUUUUGAAGCGAACUCCUUUUGCUUGGUUGGAAUACUGAAUACUGGUCUGUUAGGAAGCAAGCUUGUUUCAUCUAUGAAAUGUAUUGAACUUGAACAAGGACAACGGACAGGUCCACGUUGCAGUAGAAGGGGAGUAAGCUUGUAAGCUACCGUCAGGGGCGCGGCGUUGCCAGCUGGUGCGGGGCGACCUUUGUUUUAUCCUCCCCACACACCCAGACGUCGCAGUGUUGCCAGAUAUCGUGGCGCCUCGCUUCACGAAACGGCUCACUGCGACUGCAGCGGCCACAUUGUCGUUCUCUUUGUGAGGGGUCUGGCUGGAGUACACUGAAUCGACCUGGUAGCGCAGUGACGACGACCGCUGACUGGUCUUGACUUGUCUUCGACAAAUUAUUAAUCCAUGUCUGUACUUGGCGUAACGAACAACGGCAUGUAACGUAAAAUACAAUUACACUAUAAAAUUUUAUGUCAAUGUUGUAUUUAAAUUCAUUAUUACAUUGUAUGUAUCUCGUAUCAAAGUAAUUAAGAAUUACGUUAUUGUUGAGCAUUUAUACACUUAUAGUGGA